AUUGAACGCUGGCGGCAGGCCUAACACAUGCAAGUCGAACGGCAGCACAGAAGAGCUUGCUCUUUGGGUGGCGAGUGGCGGACGGGUGAGUAAUGUCUGGGAAACUGCCCGAUGGAGGGGGAUAACUGCUGGAAACGGUAGCUAAUACCGCAUAACGUCGCAAGACCAAAGUGGGGGACCUUCGGGCCUCACACCAUCGGAUGUGCCCAGAUGGGAUUAGCUAGUAGGUGGGGUAAUGGCUCACCUAGGCGACGAUCCCUAGCUGGUCUGAGAGGAGGACCAGCCACACUGGAACUUAGACACGGUCCAGACGCCUACGGGAGGCAGCAGUGGGGAAUAUUGCACAAUGGGCGCAAGCCUGAUGCAGCCGUGCCGCGUGUAUGAAGAAGGCCUUCGGGUUGUAAAGUACUUUCAGCGGGGAGGAAGGCGGUGAAGUUAAUAACUUCACCGAUUGACGUUACCCGCAGAAGAAGCACCGGCUAACUCCGUGCCAGCAGCCGCCGUAA
rnacentral:rRNA from 1 species